rnacentral:tRNA from 1 species
GUGAGUGCAGUUCGCGGCACAGUUCGAUUCCGUUGCCGUCGGGAAGUCGUACGUCGAGGACCGCGACGUCGGGUUUCAGGGCCGGCACUCGCGCCA